GAUCAUGGCUCAGGAUGAACGCUGGCGGCGUGCCUAAUACAUGCAAGUCGAACGAGAGUGCUUGCACUCGAGUGGCGAACGGGUGAGUAACACGUAGGUAACCUGCCUUACAGUUUGGGAUACCCGAGGGAAACCUUGGCUAAUACCGGAUAAUUCUUUUGGAGGCAUCUCCAGAAGCUAAAAGGGGGCCUUUAAAGCCUCGCUGAAUGAUGGACCUGCGGCGCAUUAGCUAGUUGGUGAGAUAACAGCCCACCAAGGCGAGGAUGCGUAGCCGACCUAAGAGGGUGAACGGCCACACUGGAACUGAGACACGGUCCAGACUCCUACGGGAGGCAGCAGUAGGGAGUUUUCGGCAAUGGGGGAAACCCUGACCGAGCAACGCCGCGUGAAAACCGAUGAAGGUCUUCGGAUUGUAAAGUUCUGUUAUAAGGGAAGAAUGAUAGCUUGAGGAAAUGCUAGUUAUUUGACGGUACCUUAUUAGAAAGCCACGGCUAACUACGUGCCAGCCGCCGC
rnacentral:rRNA from 1 species